rnacentral:rRNA from 1 species
GACGAACGCUGGCGGCGCGCUUAACACAUGCAAGUCGAGCGAAGUGGCGGACGGGCGAGUAACACGUGAGUAACCUGCUUUAGACAUUGGGAUAGCUACGGGAAACCGGGAUUAAUACCAAAUGGUCUAAGAUGGACUGGCGUCCCAUUAGCUAGUUGGUGGGUAACGGCCCACCAAGGCGACGAUGGGUAGACGGCCUGUGAGGAUGAUCAGUCACUCUGGAGCUGAGAAUCGGUCCAGACUCUGCGGGAGGGGGCAGUGGGGAAUAUUGCCAUAUGGAGGGAGCGAUGAAGCAGCUAGGCCGCGUAAGCGAAGAAGGCUUUGGGGUAGUAAAGUACUUUUAUAUGGGGAGCGGUACCAAAAGAAAAAGCCCCGGCUAACUACGUGCCAGCAGCCGCGGUAAUAC